UACGGGGGGGGCAAGCGUUGUUCGGAAUUACUGGGCGUAAAGCGCACGUAGGCGGCUAUUCAAGUCAGAGGUGAAAGCCCGGGGCUCAACCCCGGAACUGCCUUUGAAACUAGAUAGCUAGAAUCUUGGAGAGGUCAGUGGAAUUCCGAGUGUAGAGGUGAAAUUCGUAGAUAUUCGGAAGAACACCAGUGGCGAAGGCGACUGACUGGACAAGUAUUGACGCUGAGGUGCGAAAGCGUGGGGAGCAAACAGG
rnacentral:rRNA from 1 species